rnacentral:tRNA from 1 species
AGAAAGGUGACUGAGCGGCUGAAGGUGGGCGCCGCCCAAAAACGACAAAGCCAGCAUUGCUGCUGGCUGUGGUUGGCGGGAGCGCUCUGCGGCAAAUGCCCCUGUGGUUGUGCCGCACGCAGGUUCGAAUCCUGUCCUUUCUC